UACAGAGGGUGCGAGCGUUAAUCGGAAUUACUGGGCGUAAAGCGCACGCAGGUGGCUGAGUCAGUCGAUUGUGAAAGCCCUAGGCUUAACCUGGGAAUUGCAGUCGAUACUACUCAGCUAGAGUAUGGGAGAGGGUAGUGGAAUUCCCGGUGUAGCGGUGAAAUUCGUAGAUAUUCGCAAGAACACCAGUGGCGAAGGCGGCUCACUGGCCCGGUACUGACGCUGAGGUGCGAAAGCGUGGGGAGCAAACAGG
rnacentral:rRNA from 1 species